rnacentral:lncRNA from 1 species
CCCAGACUGAGUCAGGAGGAUACACACAAUUUGAACAGACCAAUAUCAAUGGAUGAAAUAGAAGAAGCAAUCAAAAGACUACCAACCAAGAAAAGCCCUGGACCGGAUGGGUAUACAGCGGAGUUUUACAAAACCUUUAAAGAAGAAUUAAUACCAAUACUUUUCAAGUUAUUUCAGGAAAUAGAAAAAGAGGGAGCUCUUCCAAAUUCAUUCUAUGAGGCCAACAUCACCCUGAUUCCAAAACCAGACAAAGACACCUCAAAGAAAGAAAACUACAGACCAAUAUCCCUAAUGAACCUAGAUGCAAAAAUCCUCAAUAAAAUUCUGGUGAAUCGGAUACAAAAACACAUCAAAAAAAUUGUGCACCAUGAUCAAGUAGGAUUCAUCCCUGGGAUGCAAGGAUGAUUCAAUAUACGGAAAUCAAUAAAUGUUAUUCACCACAUCAAUAGACUUAAAGAUAAGACCCAUAUGAUCAUCUCGAUAGACGCUGAAAAAGCAUUCGACAAAGUACAGCAUCCCUUUAUGUUCAAAACAUUAGAAAAACUAGGGAUAACAGGAACUUACCUCAACAUUGUAAAAGCAAUCUAUGCUAAGCCUCAGGCUAGCAUCAUUCCGAAUGGAGAAAAAUUGAAGGCAUUCCCUCUAAAAUCUGGAACAAGACAGGGAUGCCCUCUAUCACCACAUCUAUUCAAUACAGUUCUCGAAACACUGGCCAGAGCAAUUAGACAGACGAAAGAAAUUAAAGGCAUAAAAAUAGGAAAAGAAGAACUUAAAUUAUCACUAUUUGCAGUAGACAUGAUUCUAUACCUAGAAGACCCAAAAGGGUCUACAAAAAAACUACUAGAACUAAUAAAUGGAUUCAGCAAAGUGGCAGGAUAUAAAAUCAACACGCAUAAAUCAAAGGCAUUUCUGUAUAUCAGCGACAAAACUUCUGAAAAGGAAAUGAGGAAAAACACUCCAUUCACAAUAUCCUCAAAAAAAAUAAAAUACUUGGGAAUCAACCUAACAAAAGAGGUGAAAGAUUUAUACAAUGAAAACUACAAAACCCUAAAGAGAGAAAUAGAAGAUCUUAGAAGUUGGAAAAAUAUACCCUGUUCAUGGAUAGGCAGAACUAACAUCAUCAAAAUGGCGAUAUUACCAAAAGUUCUCUAUAGGUUUAAUGCAAUGCCAAUCAAAAUCCCAACGGUAUUUCUUGUAGAAAUAGAUAAAGCAAUCAUGAAAUUCAUAUGGAAAAAUAAAAGACCCAGAAUAGCAAAAGCGACUCUAAGCAGGAAGUGUGAAUCAGGCGGCAUAGCGAUACCAGAUUUCAAACUACAUUACAGAGCAAUAGUAACAAAAACAGCAUGGUACUGGUACCAAAACAGGCGGGUGGACCAGUGGUACAGAAUAGAGGACAUAGAGACUAAUCCACAAAGUUACAACUAUCUUAUAUUUGAUAAAGGGGCUAAAAGCAUGCAAUGGAGGAAGGAUAACAUCUUCAACAAAUGGUGUUGGGAAAACUGGAAAUCCAUAUGCAACAAAAUGAAACUGAAUCCCCUUCUCUCGCCAUGCACAAAAGUUAACUCAAAAUGGAUCAAGAGCUUGAUAUCAAAUCAGAGACUGCGUCUGAUAGAAGAAAAAGUUGGCUCUGAUCUACAUAUUGUGGGGUCGGGCUCCAAAUUCCUUAAUAGGACACCCAUAGCACAAGAGUUAAUAACAAGAAUCAACAAAUGGGACUUACUUAAAGUAAAAAGUUUUUUCUCAGCAAGAGAAACAAUAAGAGAGGUAAAUAGGGAGCCUACAUCAUGGGAACAAAUUUUUACUCCUCACACUUCAGAUAGAGCCCUAAUAUCCAGAGUAUACAAAGAACUCAAAAAAUUAGACAAUAAGAGAACAAACAACCCAAUCAACAAAUGGGCCAAGGACCUGAACAGACACUUCUCAGAGGAGGACAUACAAUCAAUCAACAAGUACAUGAAAAAAUGCUCACCAUCUCUAGCAGUCAGAGAAAUGCAAAUCAAAACCACCCUAAGAUACCAUCUCACUCCAGUAAGAUUGGCAGCCAUUAUGAAGUCAAACAACAACAAGUGCUGGCGAGGAUGUGGGGAAAAGGGUACACUUGUACAUUGCUGGUGGGACUGCAAAUUGGUGCAGCCAAUUUGGAAAGCAGUAUGGAGAUUUCUUGGAAAGCUGGGAAUGGAGCCACCAUUUGACCCAGCUAUUCCCCUUCUCGGUCUAUUCCCUAAAGACCUAAAAAGAGCAUGCUACAGGGACACUGCUACAUCGAUGUUCAUAGCAGCACAAUUCACAAUUGCUAGACUGUGGAACCAACCCAGAUGCCCUUCAAUAGAUGAAUGGAUAAAAAAAAUGUGGCAUUUAUACACCAUGGAGUAUUACGCAGCACUAAAAAAUGACAAAAUCAUGGAAUUUGCAGGGAAAUGGA